GACUGGGUGGCUCAGUCGGUUAAGCGUCUGACUUUGGCUCAGGUCAUGAUCUCACAGUUCGUGGGUUAGAGUCCCGCAUCGGGCU
rnacentral:tRNA from 1 species